rfam:Monodelphis domestica chromosome 3, whole genome shotgun sequence.
UCAAAGGUGUUUUUCAACACCACUGGAAAUUCAACAUUUUUUAAAA